GAAACGACUGCUAAGACUGGAUAGGAGACAAGAAGGCAUCUUCUUAUUUUUAAAAGACCUAGCAAUAGGUAUGCUUAGGGAGGAGCUUGCGUCACAUUAGUUAGUUGGUGGGGUAAAGGCCUACCAAGACUAUUGAUGUGUAGCCGGGCCGAGAGGUUGAACGGCCCACAUUGGGACUGAGACACGGCCCCAAACUCCUACGGGAGGCAGCAGUAGGGAAUUUUUCGGCAAUGGAGGAAACUCUGACCGAGCAACGCCGCGUGAACGAUGAAGUAUUUCGGUACGUAAAGUUCUUUUAUUAGGGAAGAAUAAAUGAUGGAAAAGUCAUUCUGACGGUACCUAAUGAAUAAGCCCCGGCUAACUAUGUGCCAGCAGCCGCGGUAAUACAUAGGGGGCAAGCGUUAUCCGGAAUUAUUGGGCGUAAAGGGUGCGUAGGCGGUUAAAUAAGUUUAUGGUCUAAGUGCAAUGCUCAACAUUGUGAUGCUAUAAAAACUAUUUAACUAGAGUAAGAUAGAGGCAAGUGGAAUUCCAUGUGUAGUGGUAAAAUGCGUAAAUAUAUGGAGGAACACCAGUAGCGAAGGCGGCUUGCUGGGUCUUUACUGACGCUGAGGCACGAAAGCGUGGGGAGCAAACAGGAUUAGAUACCCUGGUAGUCCACGCCGUAAACGAUGAGUACUAAACGUUGGGUAAAACCAGUGUUGAAGUUAACACAUUAAGUACUCCGCCUGAGUAGUACGUACGCAAGUAUGAAACUUAAAGGAAUUGACGGGACUCCGCACAAGCGGUGGAUCAUGUUGUUUAAUUCGAAGGUACCCGAAAAACCUCACCAGGUCUUGACAUGCUUCUGCAAAGCUGUAGAAACACAGUGGAGGUUAUCAGUUGCACAGGUGGUGCAUGGUUGUCGUCAGCUCGUGUCGUGAGAUGUUGGGUUAAGUCCCGCAACGAGCGCAACCCUUAUUGUUAGUUACCAGCACGUAAUGGUGGGGACUUUAGCAAGACUGCCAGUGAUAAAUUGGAGGAAGGUGGGGACGACGUCAAAUCAUCAUGCCCCUUAUGACCUGGGCUACAAACGUGAUACAAUGGCUGUUACGAAGGGUAGCUGAAGCGUAAGUUUUUGGCGAAUCUCAAAAAAACAGUCUCAGUUCGGAUUGAAGUCUGCAACUCGACUUCAUGAAGUUGGAAUCGCUAGUAAUCGCGAAUCAGCAUGUCGCGGUGAAUACGUUCUCGGGGUUUGUACACACCGCCCGUCA
rnacentral:rRNA from 1 species